UUUAUUGCUCGCACCUAGUCCAAGGGUCACUAAGGUGAUACUCCACUGCCUUUUUCCACCAGUAGUGAAUGUGUUUACCUCUAUCUGCCUGUCUGUGUGGUGAGGAUUUGUGACUGCAACACUCAUAGGAGCCAUGGGUUGGAUGGAGUCGUCUAAAAAGAAGAAGAUUAUUAUAUGUCUCUUGGCUGUGUCCAUCGUGACCCUGAUCCUCGGGCUUGGACUUGGACUUGGACUGGACUUGAAGAAAUGUCAAAA